rnacentral:rRNA from 1 species
UACGGAGGAUCCGAGCGUUAUCCGGAUUUAUUGGGUUUAAAGGGUGCGCAGGCGGGAGAUUAAGUCGGCGGUGAAAUUUUGCAGCUCAACUGUAAAAGUGCCUUCGAAACUGGUUUCCUUGAGUGUAGAUGAAGUAGCCGGAAUUUGUGGUGUAGCGGUGAAAUGCUUAGAUAUCACGAGGAACUCCGAUUGCGCAGGCAGCUUACUAAACCACUACUGACGCUCAGUCACGAAGGCGUGGGGAUCAAACAGGAUUAGAUACCCUGGUAGU